rnacentral:lncRNA from 1 species
GGUGUGCGUCCCCGCCAGCCCUGCUGGGGUCCCUGCAGGUAACCGCCUCUGAUUGAGAACAUCCGCUCACCAAAGGCUUUCAGUGCUCUGGUGGGGGAAGAAGAAGAGGAGAAAAACCCCCAAACCCGUCCAUACACAGUGCCCCUGCAGCUGCCCCACACACCGUGACCCCAUAGCUGUGGGGUUCUGGUGCUGUCGGUGUGUCUGGCAGAGGUGUGCCUCCAUCCCGCUGCAUCCCACUGCAUCCCACAUCCCUCUGCAUCCCACAUCCCUCUGCCAGGCUCUGCAGCUCCUUCCAAACAAAGAGGGAUCUCUGGGCCGCCCUCCAUCCACCACCUCCCCUCGGUGGAAGCCUGCCCACGUCUUUUUGUGCAAAUCCUUCCCUCUCGGAUGCUAUUUGAUGUCUUCAAAGGGGCUAUUCUUAUGUGGAGAAAAGAGGGCGAGCUCAGGUCUGACAAGGCUCUUCGCUCGCAGCGCAGCUAUUUUUUCACUCGGAAGAGUGCCAGUUUGGGAUUUCAAGACAAAAAAAGAAAUAAAUAAAAUACAUAUAUUCUCUUUUUCACAGGCUGAUAUUUGGGUGAAGAACUCGCAAAGUUGGG